rnacentral:rRNA from 1 species
AGAGUUUGAUCCUGGCUCAGGACGAACGCUGGCGGUGUGCUUCACACAUGCAAGUCGAGCGAAUGAAGAAGGUAGCUUGCUACUUUUGGAUUUAGCGGCGGACGGGUGAGUAAUAUAUAGGAAUCUGCCCUAGAGCGGGGAACAACAGACCGAAAGGUUUGCUAAUGCCCCAUAGGUACGCAGUCUUCGGAUUGUUUAUUAAAGGAGUAAUCCACUCUAGGAUGAGCCUGUAUCCGAUUAGCUAGUUGGCGGGGUAAAGGCCCACCAAGGCUACGAUCGGUAGUUGGUCUGAGAGGAUGAUCAGCCACAAUGGGACUGAGACACGGCCCAUACUCCUACGGGAGGCAGCAGUGGGGAAUUUUACACAAUGGGGGAAACCCUGAUGUAGCGACACCGCGUGAACGAAGAAGCCUUUUGGGGUGUAAAGUUCUGUCGGCUGGAACGAAAAAAUGACGGUACCAGCAAAGGAAGCAUCGGCUAACUACGUGCCAGCAGCCGCGGUAAGACGUAGGAUGCAAGCGUUGUCCGGAUUUAUUGGGCGUAAAGAGUUCGUAGGCGGUUAUUUAAGUCUGGUGUUAAAUACUGUGGCCCAACCACAGAACUGCAUUGGAUACUGGAUGACUUGAGUGCGGUAGAGGCGAGUGGAAUUCCCAGUGUAGCGGUGAAAUGCGUAGA